AAAUAAGAAACAAAAAUUGUAUUUAGUUUCGACCUAAAAGUCUGGUGUUAACCCACCCUUAUUUA
rnacentral:tRNA from 1 species